GGUUAAGUCCCGCAACGAGCGCAACCCUUUGUCUUUAAUUGCCAUCAUUGAGUUGGGCACUUUAAAGAGACUGCCGGUGUUAAACCGGAGGAAGGUGGGGAUGACGUCAAGUCCUCAUGGCCUUUAUGUCUAGGGCUACACACGUGCUACAAUGGGUGGUACAAAGAGCAGCUAACUCGCGAGAGUAUGCAAAUCUCAAAAAGCCAUCCUCAGUUCGGAUUGGAGUCUGCAACUCGACUCCAUGAAGUUGGAAUCGCUAGUAAUCGCGGAUCAGCAUGCCGCGGUGAAUACGUUCCCGGGCCUU
rnacentral:rRNA from 1 species